UAGGGAAUCUUCGGCAAUGGACGAAAGUCUGACCGAGCAACGCCGCGUGAGUGAAGAAGGUUUUCGGAUCGUAAAACUCUGUUGUUAGAGAAGAACAAGGACGUUAGUAACUGAACGUCCCCUGACGGUAUCUAACCAGAAAGCCACGGCUAACUACGUGCCAGCAGCCGCGGUAAUACGUAGGUGGCAAGCGUUGUCCGGAUUUAUUGGGCGUAAAGCGAGCGCAGGCGGUUUCUUAAGUCUGAUGUGAAAGCCCCCGGCUCAACCGGGGAGGGUCAUUGGAAACUGGUAGACUUGGGUGCAGAAGAGGAGAGUGGAAUUCCAUGUGUAGCGGUGAAAUGCGUAUAUAUAUGGAGGAACACCAGUGGCGAAGGCGGCUCUCUGGUCUGUAACUGACGCUGAGGCUCGAAAGCGUGGGGAGCAAACAGG
rnacentral:rRNA from 1 species